AUCAACGCUGGCGGCGUGCCUCAGACAUGCAAGUCGAACGCGAAAGUCCCCUUCGGGGGGCAAGUAGAGUGGCGUCCGGGUGAGUAACACGUAGGUAAUCUACCUUCGGGUGGGGAAUAACGCAGGGAAACUUGCGCUAAUACCGCAUAAUGCAGCGGCACCACAUGGUGACAGUUGUUAAAGCGGGGGAUUUUCGAACCUCGCGCCUGAAGAGGAGCCUGCGGCAGAUUAGCUAGUUGGUAGGGUAACGGCUUACCAAGGCGACGAUCUGUAGCCGGCCUGAGAGGGCGGUCGGCCACACUGACACUGACAUACGGGUCAGACUCCUACGGGAGGCAGCAGUGGGGAAUCUUGCGCAAUGGCCGCAAGGCUGACGCAGCGACGCCGCGUGGGGGAGGAAGGGCUUCGGCUCGUAAACCCCUGUUGCCCGGGGCGAACCUCUGGUUUCGACCAGACUGACGGUACCGGGUGAGGAAGCACCGGCUAACUCCGUGCCAGCAGCCGCGGUAAUACAGAGGUCUCAAGCGUUGUUCGGAAUCACUGGGCGUAAAGGGUGCGUAGGCGGCGCGGAAAGUCAGAUGUGAAAUCCGGGGGCUCAACCUCCGAAUGGCAUCCGAUACUACCGUGCUUGAGAGCUGUAGAGGGAUCUGGAAUUCUCGGUGUAGCAGUGAAAUGCGUAGAUAUCGAGAAGAACGCUCGUGGCGAAAGCGAGAUCCUGGGCAGCCUCUGACGCUGAGGCACGAAGGCCAGGGGAGCAAACGGGAUUAGAUACCCCGGUAGUCCUGGCUGUAAACGGUGCACGUUUGGUAUGGGGGGAAUUGACCCCCUCCGUGCCGGAGUUAACACGUUAAACGUGCCGCCUGGGAAGUACGAUCGCAAGAUUAAAACUCAAAGAAAUUGACGGGGACCCGCACAAGCGGUGGAGUAUGUGGCUUAAUUCGAUGCAACGCGAAGAACCUUACCUGGGUUUGACAUGCACUGUGUCGGGAAUGAAAGUUCCCCAGCGUAGCAAUACGCGCUUUGCACAGGUGCUGCAUGGCUGUCGUCAGCUCGUGUCGUGAGAUGUUGGGUUAAGUCCCGCAACGAGCGCAACCCCUAUGGCCUGUUGCCAACGGUUAUCCGCGCACUCAGGCCAGACUGCCCAGAUAAACUGGGAGGAAGGUGGGGAUGACGUCAGGUCCGUAUGGCCCUUACACCCAGGGCUGCACACGUACUACAAUGUCCAAUACAUUAUGAACCGAAGCCGCAAGGCGGAGGCAAUCAGCAAAAUUGGACUCAGUUCAGAUUGCAGGCUGCAACUCGCCUGCAUGAAGUCGGAAUCGCUAGUAAUGGCACAUCAGCUACGGUGCCGUGAAUACGUUCCCGGGUCUUGUACACACCGCCCGUCACAUCAUGGAAGCUAGUUUUGCCCAAAGUGCCAGGGACGACCGCAAGGGGUCCCGGUCCAAAGGCAAUACUGGUGACUAGGAUG
rnacentral:rRNA from 1 species